GAUGAACGCUAGCGGCAGGCUUAAUACAUGCAAGUCGUGGGGCAGCAGGGGUGUAGCAAUACAUCUGCUGGCGACCGGCAAACGGGUGCGUAACACGUACGCAACCUUCCCGUUACUGUGGCAUAGCCCAGGGAAACUUGGAUUAAUACCACAUAUUAUAUAGAGAGGGCAUCCUUUUUAUAUCAAAGCUUCGGCGGUAACGGAUGGGCGUGCGGUUGAUUAGGUAGUUGGCGGGGUAACGGCCCACCAAGCCUACGAUCAAUAGCUGAUGUGAGAGCAUGAUCAGCCAAACGGGCACUGAGACACGGGCCCGACUCCUACGGGAGGCAGCAGUAAGGAAUAUUGGGCAAUGGACGAAAGUCUGACCCAGCCAUGCCGCGUGAAGGAUUAAGGUCCUCUGGAUUGUAAACUUCUUUUCUCUGGGGCGAAAACCAGCUAUUCUUAGCUAUUUGACAGUACCAGAGGAAUAAGCACCGGCUAACUCCGUGCCAGCCGCCGCCGUAACAC
rnacentral:rRNA from 1 species